GUCUGAAGUCAGACAUGCGCUGAACUGACGGCUGAUCGGAGCUUGCUCUGUGACGCGAGUGCUGGACCGGUGAGUACACGUAGGCACUGCCAUCAGACUCGGGAUACCACGGGAAACGUGCUAAUACCGGAUAAUCCUUUUCCACACAGGUGGAAGUUGAAAGGCGCUUUUGGCUGUCACUGAUGGAUGGGCCUGCGCGCAUUAGCUAGUUGGUGGGUAACGGCCACCAAGGCGACGAUGCGUACGCCGACCUGAGAGGUGAUCGCCACACUGGGACUGAGACACGGCCCAGACUCCUACGGGAGGCAGCAGUAGGGAACUUCCGCAAUGGACGAAAGUCUGACGGAGCAACGCCGCGUGAGUGAAGAAGGUUCGGUCGUAAACUACUGUCGUCCCAGGAAGACGCGACGGGAGUAACUGCCCUCGCUGGACGUACUGACCGAAGGCAGGCUAACUACGUGCCAGCAGCGCGGAAUACUCAGUGGCAGCGUCUAUCCGAUCAAUGGGCGUAACCCCCGCGAGCGUCGUACAGUUGACGUUGAAGCCCCGUCACCCGAGGGCAUUGAAUUGACGCUACGCGUCAGAAGAAGGUAGGGCAUUUAGUCGAGCGCUCGAAGUUGAGGACAGCUAGUGGCCGGUUAGAACUAUCUGAUGGUGGCGAAGUAUACGGUGCUGCUGUGGAGUGAGAAAAGUGGUGCUGGUAGAGGUAAUAAGAG
rnacentral:rRNA from 1 species